rnacentral:rRNA from 1 species
AUGGAUGGGCUUCUACAUUGGGACUUCUCCCCCGGCCUUGUGGUCGCGGCUCUGGUGCGUCGUCGCUUUGGAUCUACUGUCCACUUCUCCAACUCUGGUUCGACCAAGGAGUUUUUCUUGGUAGUAAGCUUCUCCUUAGCCUCAUUCCCUCUCAAUGAAGAAUCGGUGGCCAUUGCAUUGCAAUGUUGCAUUGGUAGUUUGCCUUCGGGACUACAUGUUCAUCAUUUGGAGGGCAGAAAGUUUCGAUUUUCAGUUGCUUCUAAUCGUGUUGGUCACUUCAUCUAUGGGCUUAAGGAUAGAGUUUGGCCGAAUUUUGUUUGCCAUUUCAGUCUCUUUCGUUCUGCCACUCAGCUACCCAUGGAAGAUCCACGGACCUGGCAUUUGGACCUAGCAUUCGAAUGGGCUUAUCAGAGAAAUACAUUGCUUCAUUAUGGAAAAUUCAUUCUGUCCCGACCGUAG